rnacentral:lncRNA from 1 species
UUUUUUUUUUUUUAAGAUUUUAUUUAUUUAUUCAUGAGAGACACACAGAGAGAGGCAGAGACAUAGGCAGAGGGAGAAGCAGGUUCCCUGUGGGGAGUCCAAUGUGCGACUGAAUCCUGAGAUCUGGGGAUCAUGACCUGAGCCAAAGCAGAUACUCAACCACUAAGCCCCCCAGGCGUCCCUGUGUCUUUUUGAUUUCUGAGUCUGUAGGAAAUGCAAAAUGACUUAGCACAAAUAAUAGUCAAUGAUUGAAUUUCGAGUUCCUGUCCUGAUUCAUAGCCCUCUCCCUUGUGGAUCUCUGUGUCCCUUCCCAGACAUUUGUUUUGCCUUUGGCUUUUGCUCAGAAUUGAGAAUAGGGAAAGAGGGAAGGAAGGCUGGUGCUAAAAGCUUGUGUAACAGUUGGUUGAAGGUGAGAAGCUACAGAAUGGUGGAGGCAUGAUAACAAGAAUUUUCCUUGGCCCAGGAAAAGAGAGAGAAAAGCACUAUCCCUUGGUUGUGCUGAACAAAGAGUUGGUAUAUGGAGAAAGUAAGAGAGAGUAAGAUGGUCAUGUGUAGAUAAUGGAGGAAACAAACAAUUAGGGAGAAGGAGGGUCUUAGGAAGAAUAAACAUGGUUGUAUGAGUGUUUAAAGGAUUGCUCUUCUCCCAGAAGUUCCUGGAUUGACUCUUUUUGAAAGUUACGAAAAUUAGGUAUCAAGUCUCUUGCCUAUUAUCUCUAAAUCCUGCAAAUCUCCCUCUCCUCCCCCCUUUUUCGGAAUUGAAAUCAGUGGCAUUUCAUGCAUUCACAAUGUUGUACAACCACCACUUCUCUCUGGUUUCGUCUUCCUCUUCUUUUAGCUAGUUGUAUUUGAUUCUUUUUAAUCCCACAGCCACGGCCUUCUUCCAAAUUCCCUUUCCAACCAAAGCCAUCAUUUCUGCUGGGACCCAGUCACCAAAAUGUUCCAUUUUGAUACAAAGAGAAAACAAGACCAGCAAGACUUACAUCCGAGAGCGGGGAAGCCAGUUCCUACUUAAAAUCCCACUAUUCAGCACAGCAACCACCCCAGCUUUAGUGGGAAGAUGUUGGGGAAGAUGAGAGGUGUGGGAAUCAUGAGGGGACCAAGGCUUCUUACCAUACAGUGGAGGGACUCACUCCCCCGAUUAUCCUAAUACAGGUAGGUGCUUCACUUAGCUCUGUAUAUCACACUCAUCCCUGCCUGGUUUCAGUUUCUAACCCCAUGGCUCUCUGGUGGCCUAGUACGGACCAGUCACGCUUUCCCAAUGAGUACUUGUCAUACUGAAGAGCUCCUGUCUAUUGUAUAUGAUAAUAUAACAGCAUAUUUAUCCUGUUCACAUCUUUCAUGAAAAAGGUACUUGAAAAUAGUUGCUAAAAACAAAUAUCUCACUGAUGGCCUGGCUGAAAUAGUGCUGUCGUCCUUAAGUCCCUGUUCAGCCAAUAGUGAUACUUUAGAUGCUUCUGCAGUGAUCGUCAGACAAUUAACGCUUGUAAUGCCACUUUGAGGAUCAGUCUUGGACUUGUUAUAAUUGUUCCUAAUUUAUAUCCUUAAUUAGAUUGUCAGAUCCCUGAGGUCACAGAAUGUGCUUUACUCAUCUUUUUAUUCUAACUGAAUGUCUGGUACUUAUUAUACAGUCAAUAAAUCCUGGAAGAAAAUGUUUUUAAAAAGGUCCUAUUCACUCCCCCAUCACACAUGCUGGAUUUGCUCUCCAUGAAACCAGUUAAGGGGCCAGAAUAAUUUUUCUUGGCUUAUGCCUGUGGGAAGUGGUAGAGCAGUCAAAGUGAUUCAGUUUGUGCAUACCCAGAUGUGGGCUGAAGUGGACAGGUGGAAACCAAGCAGCUUCCUUAGAUCUUAGGAGCUGAAUAUGGGAACUGACUAGAGUAGAUUCCAUCUUUCCUGGUUUGUCACUCACCACUUAUACGAGGAAAAAUCCUGGGUGCCUGGGUGGCUCAGUUGUUGAGCAUCUACCUUUGGCUCAGGUCCUGAUUCCAGGGUCCUGGGAUUAAGUUCCUCAUCAGGCUCCCCACAGAGAGCUUGCUUCUCCCUCUGCCUGUGUCUCUGCCUCUCUUUCUGUGUCUCUCAUGAAUAAAUAAAAUCCUAAAAAAAAGAAUCCUUUGUAGCAAUCACUUUGCUUCUGCCCCCACCAUGCCACUAAAAUUGCUGUUACCAAGAUCAGCAGUGACCUAAUUGCAAAUCCACUGGUUGCUCUUCAUCCUUAUUCUCUUUACUUCUCAGAACAUUUGGAUAUCCACCACCAAUUAGCUCCUUUUUCUAGAAAAUCUCUCCUAAUUCUUUCCUGUAGCAACUUAAGACUGAUUUUGGCUGCAAAGAACAGAAAACUUGUCUAACAGUGCUCUUGAAACAUACAAGCAUUUAUGUAAAAAGUCCAAAAGUGGUAGGCAGUCCCAGGUUAAUUCAGAAGUUUACCUCUGUCAUCAAGGACCCAUUCUUUCUGUUUCCUUUGCUGUCCUCAGCAUGUUGACUGUUUUCAUCUUUGUUUAUUGUCACAUUAUGAUCACAAGAUGGCUAUGGCAUUUCCAAGCCUGGUGUCUUCAUUCCUUUGUCUCAGCAAAAAGAGAGGCAGGAACAAAAGAAUUUCUUCUGUGAAGGUCCUGUCUUUUUUAUACAAAAAGAAAAAUUUUCCUAGGAGCCUCCAUUAGACUUCCUUUCCAAUUUCAUUAACCAGAACUGAGUCUAUACCCACUCUUAGACUAGUCAUUGGUGAAGAGAAGUGGAAUU